GUGCUCACUUCGUCAGCACGUAUACUAAAAUUGGAACAAUAUAGAGAAGAUUAGCAUGGUCCCUGUGCAAGGUUGACAUUCAAAUUCUUGAAGAGUUCCAUAUUUAA